AGUGAACGCUGGCGGUAGGCCUACACAUGCCAGUCGAACCGCCGCACAGUAAGAGCUUUCCCUUAAGGGGGGCCGGUGGCGGAAGGGUGGGGAAUACCAUCGGAUCUACUUUUUUGUGGGGGAUUACGGAGGGAAAACUACCCUAAUUCCGCCUACGGCCUUCGGGUGAAAAGAAGGGAUCCUCGGACCUUUCGCGGUUGGAUGGGCCCGAUGCCGGAUUAGCUAGUUGGCGGGGUAAAGGCCCACCAAGGCAACGAUCCGUAGCUGGUCUGAGAGGAUGAUCAGCCACACUGGAACUGAGACACGGUCCAGACUCCUACGGGAGGCAGCAGUGGGGAAUAUUGGACAAUGGGCGCAAGCCUGAUCCAGCCAUACCGCGUGGGUGAAGGAGGCCUUCGGGUUGUAAAGCCCUUUUGUUGGGAAAGAAAAGCAGCAGGUUAAUACCCCGCUGUUCUGACGGUACCCAAAGAAUAAGCACCGGCUAACUUCGUG
rnacentral:rRNA from 1 species